rnacentral:rRNA from 1 species
UACAGAGGUCCCAAGCGUUGUUCGGAUUCAUUGGGCGUAAAGGGUGUGUAGGUGGCGCCGUAAGUCGGAUGUGAAAUCCCCAGGCUCAACUUGGGAACUGCAUCCGAUACUGGAUGGCUUGAAUUCGGGAGAGGGAUGCAGAAUUCCAGGUGUAGCGGUGAAAUGCGUAGAUAUCUGGAGGAACACCGGUGGCGAAGGCGGCAUCCUGGACCGGUAUGUACGCUGAGGCGCGAAAGCUAGGGGAGCAAACGGG